rnacentral:tRNA from 1 species
GAAAUAUGCCUGAAUAAAGGGCCACUUUGAUAGAGUGGAUCAUGGGGACUAAAGCCCUCUAUUUCC